rnacentral:rRNA from 1 species
UACGUAGGGUGCAAGCGUUAAUCGGAAUUACUGGGCGUAAAGCGUGCGCAGGCGGUUUUUGAAGCCAGAUGUGAAAGCCCCGGGCUUAACCUGGGAAUGGCAUUUGGGACUGCAAGGCUUGAGUGCGGCAGAGGAGACUGGAAUUCCCGGUGUAGCAGUGAAAUGCGUAGAUAUCGGGAGGAAUACCGAUGGCGAAGGCAGGUCUCUGGGCUGACACUGACGCUCAUGCACGAAAGCGUGGGGAGCAAACAGG